AUGAACGCUGGCGGCGUGCUUAACACAUGCAAGUCGAACGAAGCACCUUGAUUUGAUUCUUCGGAUGAAGAUCCUGGUGACUGAGUGGCGGACGGGUGAGUAACGCGUGGGUAACCUGCCUCAUACAGGGGGAUAACAGUUAGAAAUGACUGCUAAUACCGCAUAAGACCACAGCACCGCAUGGUGCAGGGGUAAAAACUCCGGUGGUAUGAGAUGGACCCGCGUCUGAUUAGGUAGUUGGUGGGGUAACGGCCUACCAAGCCGACGAUCAGUAGCCGACCUGAGAGGGUGACCGGCCACAUUGGGACUGAGACACGGCCCAAACUCCUACGGGAGGCAGCAGUGGGGAAUAUUGCACAAUGGGGGAAACCCUGAUGCAGCGACGCCGCGUGAGCGAUGAAGUAUUUCGGUAUGUAAAGCUCUAUCAGCAGGGAAGAAAAUGACGGUACCUGACUAAGAAGCACCGGCUAAAUACGUGCCAGCAGCCGCGGUAAUACGUAUGGUGCAAGCGUUAUCCGGAUUUACUGGGUGUAAAGGGAGCGUAGACGGAGUGGCAAGUCUGAUGUGAAAACCCGGGGCUCAACCCCGGGACUGCAUUGGAAACUGUCAAUCUAGAGUACCGGAGAGGUAAGCGGAAUUCCUAGUGUAGCGGUGAAAUGCGUAGAUAUUAGGAGGAACACCAGUGGCGAAGGCGGCUUACUGGACGGUAACUGACGUUGAGGCUCGAAAGCGUGGGGAGCAAACAGGAUUAGAUACCCUGGUAGUCCACGCCGUAAACGAUGACUACUAGGUGUCGGGCAGCAAAGCUGUUCGGUGCCGCAGCAAACGCAAUAAGUAGUCCACCUGGGGAGUACGUUCGCAAGAAUGAAACUCAAAGGAAUUGACGGGGACCCGCACAAGCGGUGGAGCAUGUGGUUUAAUUCGAAGCAACGCGAAGAACCUUACCAGGUCUUGACAUCCGUGUAAAGCCGCAGAGAUGCGGUGUGAGCUUGCUCAAUGCGAGACAGGUGGUGCAUGGUUGUCGUCAGCUCGUGCCGUGAGGUGUCGGGUUAAGUCCCAUAACGAGCGCAACCCCUACCGUUAGUUGCCAUCAGGUGAAGCUGGGCACUCUGGCGGGACUGCCGGUGUAAGCCGAGAGGAAGGUGGGGAUGACGUCAAAUCAUCAUGCCCCUUAUGAGCAGGGCUACACACGUGCUACAAUGGCGUAAACAAAGGGAGGCAGAACCGCGAGGUCGAGCAAAUCCCAAAAAUAACGUCUCAGUUCGGAUUGUAGUCUGCAACUCGACUACAUGAAGCUGGAAUCGCUAGUAAUCGCGAAUCAGAAUGUCGCGGUGAAUACGUUCCCGGGUCUUGUACACACCGCCCGUCACACCAUGGGAGUCAGUAACGCCCGAAGUCAGUGACCCAACCGCAAGGAGGGAGCUGCCGAAGGUGGGACCGAUAACUGGGGUG
rnacentral:rRNA from 1 species